CUUAGUAACGGCGAGUGAAGAGGGAUGAGCCCAGCACCGAAGCCUGCGGCAGUUUUGCUGUUAGGCAAUGUGGUGUUCGGGUCGACUGGCGGGACCGUAACUCCACUCGAAGUCCAGCAUUGAGUAUGGUUAUCAUUGGAUUUGGCCCAUAGAGGGUGAGAGGCCCGUACGGGUGGAGGUUCAGACAUGUGAUACGGUUCACCAGGUCGGCCUUAGAGUCGGGUUGUUUGAGAUUGCAGCCCAAAGUGGGUGGUAAACUCCAUCCAAGGCUAAAUACGGGCACGAGUCCGAUAGCGAACAAGUACCGUGAGGGAAAGUUGAAAAGUACUCUGAAGAGAGAGUAAAUAGUACGUGAAACCGCAUGCAGGUAAACGGGUGGCGUCAAACCGCGAGCCCGGAGGAUUCAGCUGGUUGGGUUGUUUUUAUGGCCGGAAUAAGUUUUAGUGGUCCGCUCUCUCCUUGUGAGAGUGGAGCGAAGUACGAGGUGUGUGUGUGAGUGUUGCACCAUUGUGUUGUAGCGCUUGCAACUGCCGCCUCCUCUGAGCUAUACGUGCCGGGUGGGUGCCGGAGUAUGCCACUAAUCUGUAGGGCCGCCUAGUCAGUGCAAUUUCUCCGUGGUGAACAUCACGACCGAUGGAAUUGCCAGUCCACCGUGGUCAAGUCGUGUUCACCUGACUUUUGAAGGUUGCCAUUUUUGGUAAUCUUUUAUUAGUUUGGUGGGUAUGAUCGCAGGUGGAGCGAGUAAACGGCGUAGUGGUGCUUCGGUAUUGCUACGUGUUAUCGUGUACUCACCGCCAACGAGUCGCUAUGCAGUGAUGUGACUAGACUGCUAACGGCUUGGCGGACUACGGUGGUAAAAAUGACUGUGCAAGGCAUCGGAUUUAUCCACCUCACGCAUAUGUAUAUAUCAGCAAUGAUGUAUGUGUAUGCGAUAGUAUCCGGCAGGCAUUUCACAUAUGCCACAUUUGGGGGCGCGUUGCCGUGUGUAUGCAUUAUACGUGAUUGUCGUUUUGCCUACAAAAAGUAGGUGCGGCAGUGGUGUAGUGUAUUAUUAAUAAUGCGCGGUAUUACGCUGUCUCCGGUGCAUGUGAUACUGUGGGUGUAAUAGUCAGUGGUGCUGUGGUAGACGAGCUACCCGACCCGUCUCGAAACACGGACCAAGGAGUUUAACAUGUGUGCGAGUCAAAGGGCUAUACGAAACCCCAAGGCGUAGUGAAAGUAAAAAUUAUAUUGCAUUUAUUUGCAGUAUAAUGAGGUGAGAUCUCAUUGCGCGCGUGUAUAUUUUAUAAUAUGCAUUAGAGCAAUGGGCGCAUCACCGGCCCGUCCCAUGAUGUGGUCAUUGGCAUUGAUAUGUGUGUACACUUGUGUAUGCUAGUAUCAGCUAAUGCGUCAUCGGGGCGGAGCAUGAGCACACACGUUGAGACCCGAAAGAUGGUGAACUAUGCUUGCGUAGGUUGAAGCCAGAGGAAACUCUGGUGGAGGACCGUAGCGAUUCUGACGUGCAAAUCGAUCGUCAAACGUGAGUAUAGGGGCGAAAGACU
rnacentral:rRNA from 1 species